rnacentral:rRNA from 1 species
CCUACGGGAGGCAGCAGUGGGGAAUAUUGCACAAUGGGGGAAACCCUGAUGCAGCAACGCCGCGUGAGCGAAGAAGGCCUUCGGGUCGUAAAGCUCGGUCCUAGGGAAGGAGGCAGGACGUUACCUUGGGGGGAAGCCCGGGCAAACUACGGGCCGGAAGCCGGGGAAAUACGUAGGGGGCGAGGGUUAUCCGGAAUCACUGGGCGUAAAGGGUGCGUAGGCGGCCGAUUAAGCCAGGGGUGAAAGGCUACGGCUCAACCGUAGUAAGCCCUUGGAACUGAUUGGCUUGAGUGCAGGAGAGGAGAGUGGAAUUCCUAGUGUAGCGGUGAAAUGCGUAGAUAUUAGGAGGAACACCAGUGGCGAAGGCGACUCUCUGGACUGUAACUGACGCUGAGGCACGAAAGCGUGGGGAGCAAACAGGAUUAGAUACCCCGGUAGUC